UUACUGCUAUCGAGGUCCGACUAAGCCAUGCGAGUCGAAUGUAGCAAUACAUGGCAUACUGCUCAGUAACACGUGGACAACCUACCCUCAGCACGGGGAUAAACCCGGGAAACUGGGUAUAAUACCCGAUAGUUCUGGUUAGCUGGAAUGCUAUCAGGACGAAAGCUCCGGCGGCCGAGGAUGGGUCUGCGGCCUAUCAGGUAGUAGUGGGUGUAACGUACCUACUAGCCUACGACGGGUACGGGUUGUGAGAGCAAGAGCCCGGAGAUGGAUUCUGAGACACGAAUCCAGGCCCUACGGGGUGCAGCAGGCGCGAAAACUUUACAAUGCUGGCAACAGCGAUAAGGGGACCUCGAGUGCCAGGAUACAAUCUUGGCUGUCGUGAUGCCUAAAAAGCAUUGCAUAGCAAGGGCCGGGCAAGACCGGUGCCAGCCGCCGCGGUAACACCGGCGGCUCGAGUGGUAACCGCUAUUAUUGGGUCUAAAGGGUCUGUAGCCGGCCGGAUAAGUCUUUUGGGAAAUCCAGCUGCUCAACAGUUGGGCUUUCAGGAGAU
rnacentral:rRNA from 1 species